rnacentral:rRNA from 1 species
UACGUAGGGUGCGAGCGUUGUCCGGAAUUAUUGGGCGUAAAGGGCGCGUAGGCGGCUUGGCAAGUGACGGGUGAAAUCCCUCGGCUUAACCGAGGAACUGCCUGUCAGGCUGCUUUGCUUGAGUCCGGGAGAGGUGAGUGGAAUUCCCAGUGUAGCGGUGAAAUGCGUAGAUAUUGGGAGGAACACCAGUGGCGAAGGCGGCUCACUGGACCGGAACUGACGCUGAGGCGCGAAAGCGUGGGGAGCAAACAGG